AAUAUGAGGGAUAUGAUUUGUUUAUGGAAUGAUUGGUCUGUCAAAAAACAAAAUGAGGGGUUAUCCUAGUCCUAAACGAUUGAUACUAGGCACUGUGCAUAUCGACCUGUGCAGUACUAUAGCUGACGCGUUAAGUAUCCCACCUGGGGAGUACGUUCGGAAGAAUGUAACUCAAAGGAAUUGAUGGGGCCCACACAAGCAAUGGAGCAUGUAGUUUAAUUCAAUGCAUAGUGAAAAAUCUCACCCGGGUUUGAAAUGCCACAAAUCCUCUCAAAAGAGAGGGUAGCUCGGGGGAACGUGGACAUAGGUGGUGCAUGGUUGUCAUCAACUCAUGUCGUAAGGUGUUGGGUUAAGUACCGCAAAGAAGUACAACCCUCGUGUUUAGUUGCCAUCGUUAAAUUUGGAACCUUGAACAAAAUGUUGGUGAUAAACCAAAGGAAUGUGGGGAUGAUAUUAAGUCAUCAUGCCCUGGACGAUACACGUGCUACAAUGGUCGGGACAAAGUCACGAAGCUUUUCCAUCAAUAGUAACAUAAGUUCUGCUACAGUGAUAUUACUUGGAAUUAAGAGUGAAAUUCUUUUGUUCUCUUGCCACUUUCACUCGUCAUCUAUACGCAUGAAAUCUUUC
rnacentral:rRNA from 1 species